UACAGAGGUCUCAAGCGUUGUUCGGAUUCAUUGGGCGUAAAGGGCGCGUAGGCGGCGGGGUAAGUCGGGUGUGAAAUCUCAGGGCUCAACCCUGAAACUGCACUCGAUACUGCUCUGCUUGAGGACUGGAGAGGAGACUGGAAUUCACGGUGUAGCAGUGAAAUGCGUAGAUAUCGUGAGGAAGACCAGUGGCGAAGGCGGGUCUCUGGACAGUUCCUGGCGCUGAGGCGCGAAGGCCAGGGGAGCAAACGGG
rnacentral:rRNA from 1 species